UACGUAGGGGGCUAGCGUUGUCCGGAUUUAUUGGGCGUAAAGGGCGUGUAGGCGGCCAUGUAGGUCCGGUGUGAAAACUCGAGGCUUAACCUCGAGAUGUCAUCGGAAACCAUUUGGCUAGAGUCCGGAAGAGGAGACUGGAAUUCCUGGUGUAGCGGUGAAAUGCGCAGAUAUCAGGAGGAACACCGGUGGCGAAGGCGGGUCUCUGGGCCGAUACUGACGCUGAGGAGCGAAAGCGUGGGGAGCGAACAGG
rnacentral:rRNA from 1 species